rnacentral:rRNA from 1 species
UACGUAGGGGGCAAGCGUUGUCCGGAAUCAUUGGGCGUAAAGAGCGUGUAGGCGGCCCGGUAAGUCCGCUGUGAAAGUCACAGGCUCAACCUGUGAAUGCCGCUGGAAACUGUCUGGCUAGAGUCCGGAAGGGGCGAGUGGAAUUCCUGGUGUAGCGGUGAAAUGCGCAGAUAUCAGGAGGAACACCUAUGGCGAAGGCAGCUCGCUGGGACGGUACUGACGCUGAGGCGCGAAAGCGUGGGGAGCAAACAGG